AGACUACUGCGCGCGGCCGGCUGUGCAGCGAUAGGGCGCGGCGUCUGCGCCGCCACUUUAUCCCCAGCCGCUCGGCGGCGGGGGCGGCCCGCUGGGUGGGGACGCGCGGGGAGGCGGCGCCGGGGCCCCACGUGUGCCCGGUCCCCGGGGAGGAGCGGGGCACCGCCCGCCGACCUGCCUCGCGUUUUUUCCUGGCCGCGUUGGGGACCUUCACGGGGCACUGAACCGAAUUAGGGGGCCCUUCCAGCCCAAGCGCACAGUCGAGAACACAGACCCUCACACAGGUCCCCCGAGCAGAAACACGCUCACAAGAACUGCAUGCACAUGUUUACAGUUGCACACGUGUGAGACCCGCAUUCAGAUAGCACAAGUGUAGGCACACCCACAAGGACACAAGGACUCCUCCUCAGGACCCUUCACCAGAUACAAGCUACACACAGGGGUACAAGUGAAUGUCACAGUUACUACAUGUAUACAGACACACAGCAUGGAUGCACAUGCCCUAGACACCAUGCACACAGAUAAAAACAACAUACCAUGCACACAGUGUCAGCGCAGAAACCACAGCUCUCAUCAUACAGGGGAAAAGAUUAUUCUGGAGCCAUUUUGAGUGACCAUGAGCUGGAAACACAGAUUUAAGUUGCCCCUAAUUCCAUGUUCCCAUGUGAAAGCAGUUUCAGGAAAAUAUAUAUAGUUUUAAAGAACAGAAAAAGCCAUAUAUCAAGGCAAGUUUAAAAUACAUUGGUGGGUACACCAGAGAGGCAGGUAACAAUGAAAUGGGAAAGUGUUCCUAUAGGUUCAAAAUGCUAUCUGAUAGCAUCGCUAACUUUUGGAUUUGUAGAAGCUAAUUAUCCUGUUAAGUCAAUAGAUAAACACUGUUCAUUUUUUGCCUCAAGAAGUUAGUUCUAACAAAGAGGGGCAAGAAAGAAAUGGCUGUUCCUGAGGGCCCAAACUUAGCCCAAAAUAAAGUAAUUUGCCUCUGGACCUGAACAUUCCAACCUCUCCAAAGUACUGAAACUUUAAUCAGCCAGUUAAUCUCUGCAGACACAGCUUCCUUUCAGUUUUCCGCCUCAGCAGCAGAAGCAGCUCCUUUCCCCAUGUUCAUAACAGAGAUAAACAACACACCACACACACCCUGACUGCUAAAGAUGUGUGACAUUCACACACAAACACUUAGAGCCCUGAGAAGGAAGCAGACACACUGCAAACCACAAACACUGCAUGAAACCAUUUCCCCUAGGUGCCCCAGGAGCCAGGUCCCACCAGCACAGCUGCCUAUGUGGCUGUGGAGUCUGGAAUCCAGUAUUAAAUUUACAGCCUGUCCACUGUGUCCUAUGUCUGCCACCUGUGAGUGACAGCUGCAGAGGAAGGAUGACCCUGACUCACACCCAUCUCCACAGGCUUGCCAGGGCUUUCUUCUUGGCCAACCACUUUGCAAAAUAGCAGUGUUGAAUAGUACCAUUGUCAGGGCGGCACAGUGGUGGUGUCCACCUACGGGUCCCACUCUCUAGCACUGUAUGGCUUGGAACACAUAGAUAUUCACCUGUCUGCUUCCUAAAUGCGGGGAUCAAAGAUCCAUGCUGCCAUACCCAGAAUGACAUUGGAUUCAUACACUCAAGAAAAGGGAAUCAACAGCAAAGGAUUGGUGAGCUGCAGAAAUUCUCUUGGAUUGUUUCCUUCUCACACAGAAGAAGACAUCAGGGCCCCCUUUCAUUCUGGUAUUCUCACUGCAGAAGGGAUCUGUGGAAUAACAGUUCUUCCCAUGCCCCUGAGUAUUUUAAAAAUGUUUUGUUACCUCUUCUGGCCAUGAUGGUGUUCAGUGAUGCCCUCUCCUAUUCUCACAGAUAAUGCCUUUUCCCUCUUAGUACUUUCAAGAUGGCUCUCUGUGUCUGGUUUUCAGAAGUUUCACCAUGUGUCUUGGUGUGGAUUCUUUAGGUUUAUUUUAUGCUUGUUCAGCUUCUCUGAUCUGAAGAAGUCAAGGUUUAUGUCUCUUGACAAAUUCAGAACAUUUUCACACGACCAGCAUUAU
rnacentral:lncRNA from 1 species